AUCUGGCAUUUGCUUAACAAGACAACAUCUUUUCUGUUCACAGGUCUUUUUUCAGAAAUUAACAGCCUACAAAAGAUAAUGAGCUCCGUGAAUCUUAUUAGCACAAGCUGCAGCUGACUGACAAGUUUUGUCAGGUGUAAGUGCUGGAGAAGCUCAUGGAGAACAAUCUUAUCUGUGCUCCCUCCCAGGAAUUCAUCCAUCUAUGCAUGUGCCUUGGGUGCCUUUUGGAGAAAUCCACCUGUUGGGACGUAAUAG
rnacentral:lncRNA from 1 species